GACGAACGCUGGCGGCGUGCUUAACACAUGCAAGUCGAACGGAAAGGCCCUGCUUUUGUGGGGUGCUCGAGUGGCGAACGGGUGAGCAACACGUGAGUAACCUGCCCUUGACUUUGGGAUAACUUCAGGAAACUGGGGCUAAUACCGGAUAGGAGCUCCUGCUGCAUGGUGGGGGUUGGAAAGUUUCGGCGGUUGGGGAUGGACUCGCGGCUUAUCAGCUUGUUGGUGGGGUAGUGGCUUACCAAGGCUUUGACGGGUAGCCGGCCUGAGAGGGUGACCGGCCACAUUGGGACUGAGAUACGGCCCAGACUCCUACGGGAGGCAGCAGUGGGGAAUAUUGCACAAUGGGCGGAAGCCUGAUGCAGCAACGCCGCGUGCGGGAUGACGGCCUUCGGGUUGUAAACCGCUUUCGCCUGUGACGAAGCGUGAGUGACGGUAAUGGGUAAAGAAGCACCGGCUAACUACGUGCCAGCAGCCGCGGUGAUACGUAGGGUGCGAGCGUUGUCCGGAUUUAUUGGGCGUAAAGGGCUCGUAGGUGGUUGAUCGCGUCGGAAGUGUAAUCUUGGGGCUUAACCCUGAGCGUGCUUUCGAUACGGGUUGACUUGAGGAAGGUAGGGGAGAAUGGAAUUCCUGGUGGAGCGGUGGAAUGCGCAGAUAUCAGGAGGAACACCAGUGGCGAAGGCGGUUCUCUGGGCCUUUCCUGACGCUGAGGAGCGAAAGCGUGGGGAGCGAACAGGCUUAGAUACCCUGGUAGUCCACGCUGUAAACGGUGGGUACUAGGUGUGGGGUCCAUUCCACGGGUUCCGUGCCGUAGCUAACGCUUUAAGUACCCCGCCUGGGGAGUACGGCCGCAAGGCUAAAACUCAAAGGAAUUGACGGGGCCCCGCACAAGCGGCGGAGCAUGCGGAUUAAUUCGAUGCAACGCGUAGAACCUUACCUGGGUUUGACAUGGAUCGGGAGUGCUCAGAGAUGGGUGUGCCUCUUUUGGGGUCGGUUCACAGGUGGUGCAUGGCUGUCGUCAGCUCGUGUCGUGAGAUGUUGGGUUAAGUCCCGCAACGAGCGCAACCCUUGUUCACUGUUGCCAGCACGUUAUGGUGGGGACUCAGUGGAGACCGCCGGGGUCAACUCGGAGGAAGGUGGGGAUGACGUCAAGUCAUCAUGCCCCUUAUGUCCAGGGCUUCACGCAUGCUACAAUGGCUGGUACAGAGAGUGGCGAGCCUGUGAGGGUGAGCGAAUCUCGGAAAGCCGGUCUCAGUUCGGAUUGGGGUCUGCAACUCGACCUCAUGAAGUCGGAGUCGCUAGUAAUCGCAGAUCAGCAACGCUGCGGUGAAUACGUUCCCGGGGCU
rnacentral:rRNA from 1 species